rnacentral:rRNA from 1 species
ACAGCGGAGGGGAUCAUUA